rnacentral:rRNA from 1 species
UACGGAGGGGGCGAGCGUUAUUCGGAAUUAUUGGGCGUAAAGGGCGCGUAGGCGGCUGUACAAGUCAAAGGUGAAAUCCCUCGGCUCAACUGAGGAACUGCCUUUGAAACUGUACGGCUUGAGGCCGGGAGGGGGUAGCGGAAUUCCCAGUGUAGCGGUGAAAUGCGUAGAUACUGGGAGGAACACCAGUGGCGAAGGCGGCUCUCUGGAACGCAACUGACGCUGAGACGCGAAAGCGUGGGGAGCAAACAGG